AUUGAACGCUGGCGGCAGGCCUAACACAUGCAAGUCGAACGAGUGGCGGACGGGUGAGUAAUGUCUGGGAAACUGCCUGAUGGAGGGGGAUCACUACUGGAAACGGUAGCUAAUACCGCAUACCAUAAGAUGUUACCAGAUGGGAUUAGCUAGUUGGUGGGGUAAAGGCAUAUCAAGGCGACGAUCAGUAGCGGGUCUGAGAGGACGAUCCGCCAAACUGGGACUGAGAGACGGCCCAGACUCAGACGGUAGGCAGAAGUGGGGAAUGUUGGACAAUGGGGGCAACCCGGAUCCAGCCAUGCCGCGUGUAUGAAGAAGGCCUUCGGGUUGUAAAGUACUUUCAGCGGGGAGGCGUUACCCGCAGAAGAAGCACCGGCUAACUCCGUGCCAGCAGCCGCGGUAAUAC
rnacentral:rRNA from 1 species